GAUGAAGAACGCAGCGAAAUGCGAUACGUAAUGUGAAUUGCAGAAUUCAGUGAAUCAUCGAGUCUUUGAACGCACAUUGCGCCCCCUGGUAUUCCGGGGGGCAUGCCUGUCCGAGCGUCAUUGCUGCCCUCAAGCACGGCUUGUGUGUUGGGCCUCCGUCCUCCUCCCGGGGGACGGGCCCGAAAGGCAGCGGCGGCACCGCGUCCGGUCCUUGAGCGUAUGGGGCUUCGUCACCCGCUCUUGUAGGCCCGGCCGGCGCUUGCCGACACAUCAAUCUUUUUUCCAGGUUGACCUCGGAUCAGGUAGGGAUACCCGCUGAACUUAAGCAUAUCAAUAAGCGGAGGA
rnacentral:misc_RNA from 1 species